GAUGAACGCUAGCGGCAGGCCUAAUACAUGCAAGUCGAACGGUGUAGCAAUACACAGUGGCGCACGGGUGCGUAACACGUAUGCAACCUACCUAUUAUUGGGGGAUAGCCUUUGGAAACGGAGAUUAAUACCGCAUAAGACAGUGACAUGGCAUCAUGUAGCUGUUAAAGCUUUGGCGAUAAUAGAUGGGCAUGCGUCCAAUUAGUUAGUUGGUGAGGUAAUGGCUCACCAAGACGAUGAUUGGUAGGGGACCUGAGAGGAUAAUCCCCCACACUGGAACUGGGAUACGGGCCAGACUCCUACGGGAGGCAGCAGUAGGGAAUAUUGGGCAAUGGACGGAAGUCUGACCCAGCCAUGCCGCGUGCAGGAUGACGGCGUUAUGCGUUGUAAACUGCUUUUUUAUAGGAAGAAGAAGCCCUUGCGAGGGAAAGUGACGGUACUAUAAGAAUAAGCACCGGCUAACUCCGUGCCAGCCGCCGCCGUAACAC
rnacentral:rRNA from 1 species